UUAAGCGACUAAGCGUACACGGUGGAUGCCCUGGCAGUCAGAGGCGAUGAAGGACGUGCUAAUCUGCGAUAAGCGUCGGUAAGGUGAUAUGAACCGUUAUAACCGGCGAUUUCCGAAUGGGGAAACCCAGUGUGUUUCGACACACUAUCAUUAACUGAAUCCAUAGGUUAAUGAGGCGAACCGGGGGAACUGAAACAUCUAAGUACCCCGAGGAAAAGAAAUCAACCGAGAUUCCCCCAGUAGCGGCGAGCGAACGGGGAGCAGCCCAGAGCCUGAAUCAGUGUGUGUGUUAGUGGAAGCGUCUGGAAAGGCGCGCGAUACAGGGUGACAGCCCCGUACACAAAAAUGCACAUGCUGUGAGCUCGAUGAGUAGGGCGGGACACGUGGUAUCCUGUCUGAAUAUGGGGGGACCAUCCUCCAAGGCUAAAUACUCCUGACUGACCGAUAGUGAACCAGUACCGUGAGGGAAAGGCGAAAAGAACCCCGGCGAGGGGAGUGAAAAAGAACCUGAAACCGUGUACGUACAAGCAGUGGGAGCACGCUUAGGCGUGUGACUGCGUACCUUUUGUAUAAUGGGUCAGCGACUUAUAUUCUGUAGCAAGGUUAACCGAAUAGGGGAGCCGAAGGGAAACCGAGUCUUAACUGGGCGUUAAGUUGCAGGGUAUAGACCCGAAACCCGGUGAUCUAGCCAUGGGCAGGUUGAAGGUUGGGUAACACUAUCUGGAGGACCGAACCGACUAAUGUUGAAAAAUUAGCGGAUGACUUGUGGCUGGGGGUGAAAGGCCAAUCAAACCGGGAGAUAGCUGGUUCUCCCCGAAAGCUAUUUAGGUAGCGCCUCGUGAAUUCAUCUCCGGGGGUAGAGCACUGUUUCGGCAAGGGGGUCAUCCCGACUUACCAACCCGAUGCAAACUGCGAAUACCGGAGAAUGUUAUCACGGGAGACACACGGCGGGUGCUAACGUCCGUCGUGAAGAGGGAAACAACCCAGACCGCCAGCUAAGGUCCCAAAGUCAUGGUUAAGUGGGAAACGAUGUGGGAAGGCCCAGACAGCCAGGAUGUUGGCUUAGAAGCAGCCAUCAUUUAAAGAAAGCGUAAUAGCUCACUGGUCGAGUCGGCCUGCGCGGAAGAUGUAACGGGGCUAAACCAUGCACCGAAGCUGCGGCAGCGACGCUUAUGCGUUGUUGGGUAGGGGAGCGUUCUGUAAGCCUGCGAAGGUGUGCUGUGAGGCAUGCUGGAGGUAUCAGAAGUGCGAAUGCUGACAUAAGUAACGAUAAAGCGGGUGAAAAGCCCGCUCGCCGGAAGACCAAGGGUUCCUGUCCAACGUUAAUCGGGGCAGGGUGAGUCGACCCCUAAGGCGAGGCCGAAAGGCGUAGUCGAUGGGAAACAGGUUAAUAUUCCUGUACUUGGUGUUACUGCGAAGGGGGGACGGAGAAGGCUAUGUUGGCCGGGCGACGGUUGUCCCGGUUUAAGCGUGUAGGCUGGUUUUCCAGGCAAAUCCGGAAAAUCAAGGCUGAGGCGUGAUGACGAGGCACUACGGUGCUGAAGCAACAAAUGCCCUGCUUCCAGGAAAAGCCUCUAAGCAUCAGGUAACAUCAAAUCGUACCCCAAACCGACACAGGUGGUCAGGUAGAGAAUACCAAGGCGCUUGAGAGAACUCGGGUGAAGGAACUAGGCAAAAUGGUGCCGUAACUUCGGGAGAAGGCACGCUGAUAUGUAGGUGAAGUCCCUCGCGGAUGGAGCUGAAAUCAGUCGAAGAUACCAGCUGGCUGCAACUGUUUAUUAAAAACACAGCACUGUGCAAACACGAAAGUGGACGUAUACGGUGUGACGCCUGCCCGGUGCCGGAAGGUUAAUUGAUGGGGUCAGCGCAAGCGAAGCUCUUGAUCGAAGCCCCGGUAAACGGCGGCCGUAACUAUAACGGUCCUAAGGUAGCGAAAUUCCUUGUCGGGUAAGUUCCGACCUGCACGAAUGGCGUAAUGAUGGCCAGGCUGUCUCCACCCGAGACUCAGUGAAAUUGAACUCGCUGUGAAGAUGCAGUGUACCCGCGGCAAGACGGAAAGACCCCGUGAACCUUUACUAUAGCUUGACACUGAACAUUGAGCCUUGAUGUGUAGGAUAGGUGGGAGGCUUUGAAGUGUGGACGCCAGUCUGCAUGGAGCCGACCUUGAAAUACCACCCUUUAAUGUUUGAUGUUCUAACGUUGACCCGUAAUCCGGGUUGCGGACAGUGUCUGGUGGGUAGUUUGACUGGGGCGGUCUCCUCCUAAAGAGUAACGGAGGAGCACGAAGGUUGGCUAAUCCUGGUCGGACAUCAGGAGGUUAGUGCAAUGGCAUAAGCCAGCUUGACUGCGAGCGUGACGGCGCGAGCAGGUGCGAAAGCAGGUCAUAGUGAUCCGGUGGUUCUGAAUGGAAGGGCCAUCGCUCAACGGAUAAAAGGUACUCCGGGGAUAACAGGCUGAUACCGCCCAAGAGUUCAUAUCGACGGCGGUGUUUGGCACCUCGAUGUCGGCUCAUCACAUCCUGGGGCUGAAGUAGGUCCCAAGGGUAUGGCUGUUCGCCAUUUAAAGUGGUACGCGAGCUGGGUUUAGAACGUCGUGAGACAGUUCGGUCCCUAUCUGCCGUGGGCGCUGGAGAACUGAGGGGGGCUGCUCCUAGUACGAGAGGACCGGAGUGGACGCAUCACUGGUGUUCGGGUUGUCAUGCCAAUGGCACUGCCCGGUAGCUAAAUGCGGAAGAGAUAAGUGCUGAAAGCAUCUAAGCACGAAACUUGCCCCGAGAUGAGUUCUCCCUGACUCCUUGAGAGUCCUGAAGGAACGUUGAAGACGACGACGUUGAUAGGCCGGGUGUGUAAGCGCAGCGAUGCGUUGAGCUAACCGGUACUAAUGAACCGUGAGGCUUAACCUU
rnacentral:rRNA from 1 species